rnacentral:snoRNA from 1 species
GAGCAGAAUUCAGACUACAAUGUAGCUGUUUAGCACUGUGUUGUCAUUCCCUCUGCUCAAAAUAAAGUUGUUUCUUUACUAUACCUGUCUGCUAUAUUCCUGCAGCAGCCAUGAACAUUUGGUCCCAUACAU